rnacentral:rRNA from 1 species
GUGUCAGCAGCCGCGGUAAGACGUAGGUGGCAAGCGUUGUCCGGAGUUAUUGGGCGUAAAGCGCGCGCAGGCGGUUCGGUAAGUCCAUGGUGAAAGCGCCCGGCUCAACUGGGCGAGUGCCGUGGGGACUGCCGAGCUGGAGGGGAGCAGAGGCGAGUGGAAUUCCGGGUGUAGUGGUGAAAUGCGUAGAGAUCCGGAGGAACACCAGUGGCGAAGGCGGCUCGCUGGGCUCUACCUGACGCUGAGGCGCGAAAGCGUGGGGAGCGAACCGGAUUAGAUACCCGGGUAGUCCACGCCGUAAACGAUGGACACUAGGUGUGGGGGGUAUCGACCCCCUCCGUGCCGAAGCUAACGCGGUAAGUGUCCCGCCUGGGGAGUACGGCCGCAAGGCUAAA